rnacentral:rRNA from 1 species
CCAGACUCCUACGGGAGGCAGCAGUGGGGAAUAUUGCACAAUGGGGGAAACCCUGAUGCAGCGACGCCGCGUGAGUGAAGAAGUAUUUCGGUAUGUAAAGCUCUAUCAGCAGGGAAGAAAAUGACGGUACCUGACUAAGAAGCCCCGGCUAACUACGUGCCAGCAGCCGCGGUAAUACGUAGGGGGCAAGCGUUAUCCGGAUUUACUGGGUGUAAAGGGAGCGUAGACGGCAGAGCAAGUCUGAAGUGAAAGCCCGCGGCCCAACUGCGGGACUGCUUUGGAAACUGCCCGGCUGGAGUGCCGGAGAGGUAAGCGGAAUUCCUAGUGUAGCGGUGAAAUGCGUAGAUAUUAGGAGGAACACCAGUGGCGAAGGCGGCUUACUGGACGGCAACUGACGCUGAGGCUCGAAAGCGUGGGGAGCAAACAGGAUUAGAUACCCCUGUA